rnacentral:rRNA from 1 species
AUGUUAGCGGCGGACGGGUGAGUAACACGUGGGUAACCUACCUAUAAGACUGGGAUAACUCCGGGAAACCGGGGCUAAUACCGGAUAAUAUUUUGAACCGCAUGGUUCAAUAGUGAAAGACGGUUUCGGCUGUCACUUAUAGAUGGACCCGCGCCGUAUUAGCUAGUUGGUAAGGUAACGGCUUACCAAGGCGACGAUACGUAGCCGACCUGAGAGGGCGAUCGGCCACACUGGAACUGAGACACGGUCCAGACUCCUACGGGAGGCAGCAGAG